rnacentral:rRNA from 1 species
UACGUAGGGGGCAAGCGUUGUCCGGAAUCAUUGGGCGUAAAGGGCGCGUAGGCGGGCAUAUAAGUCUGAUGUGAAAGUGCGGAGCUUAACUCCGUAAAGCAUUGGAAACUGUGUGUCUUGAGGACAGGAGAGGAAAGUGGAAUUCCACGUGUAGCGGUGAAAUGCGUAGAGAUGUGGAGGAACACCAGUGGCGAAGGCGACUUUCUGGACUGUAACUGACGCUGAGGCGCGAAAGCGUGGGGAGCGAACAGG